rnacentral:rRNA from 1 species
GACUCUCGACAAUGAAUAUCUAGGCUCUCAUAUCGAUGAAGAACGUAGCGAAAUGCAAUACUUGGUGUGAAUUGCAGAAUCCCACGAAUCAUAGAGUUUUUGAAUGCAAGUUGCACCCGAAGCCAUUUGGCCGAGGGCACGUUUGCUUACGUGUCACG